rnacentral:rRNA from 1 species
AAUAAAGUUUUCUUUAUUGGGGUUGCGGACAUAUCAUAACGAAGAGGUAUCGUAAUUGAAGAGGUUUGGAAAGACCCACCACAGAAGGUAAUAGUCCUGUAUGUUAAACGAGAAGACUUUAGAUAUGAUCCAGAGUACCACGGGACACGUGAAACCCUGUGGGAAGCAGGAGGGACCACCCUCCAAGGCUAAAUACUACCUAGUGACCGAUAGCGUAUAGUACCGUGAGGGAAAGGUGAAAAGAACCCCGGGAGGGGAGUGAAAUAGAACCUGAAACCCUGCACUUACAAGCUGUGGAAGCACAUUUCUUGUGUGACCGCGUACUUUUUGUAGAACGGGCCAACGAGUUACGUUAAGUAGCAAGGUUAAGCACUUAAGGUGCGGAGCCGUAGCGAAAGCGAGUUUUAACUGAGCGUUCAGUUACUUGACGUAGACCCGAAACCGGGCGACCUACCCAUGAGCAGGAUGAAGCGAAAGUAAAAUUUCGUGGAGGUCCGAACCCACGAGCGUUGAAAAGCUCGGGGAUGACUUGUGGGUAGCGGUGAAAUUCCAAUCGAGCCCGGAGAUAGCUGGUUCUCCCCGAAAUAGCUUUAGGGCUAGCCUCAAGGUGAGAGAUACGGAGGUAGAGCACUGAAUGUCCUAGGGGGUAUUGCACCUACCGAAGACUAUCAAACUCCGAAUGCCGUCAUCUUAUACUUGGGAGUCAGACUGUGGGUGAUAAGAUUCAUAGUCGAAAGGGCAACAGCCCAGAUCGUCAGCUAAGGUCCCUAAAUGUAAGUUAAGUGGUAAAGGAUGUGGGAUUGCACAGACAACCAGGAUGUUGGCUUAGAAGCAGCCACUCAUUCAAAGAGUGCGUAAUAGCUCACUGGUCGAGUGAUCCUGCGCCGAAGAUUUCCGGGGCUAAAACUUACUACCGAAGCUACGGCAUCAGUAAUGAUGGGUAGGGGAGCUUCCCAUACGGGUUGAAGCAUGACCGUAAGGACAUGUGGACAGUAUGGGAGUGAGAAUGUUGGCAUGAGUAGCGAGAUGUGGGUGAGAAUCCCACAGGCCGUAAACCCAAGGUUUCCAGGGGAAGGUUCGUCCGCCCUGGGUUAGUCGGGACCUAAGCUGAGGCCGAAAGGCGUAGGUGAUGGACAACAGGUUGAUAUUCCUGUACUACCGAUAACCGUUUGAGAGAAGGGAUGACACAGUAGGAUAAGCUAAGCACACUGUUGGUUAUGUGUGCCCAAGCAUUGAGGCAGUCAAAGUAGGCAAAUCCGCUUUGAUAAUGCUGGGAUGUGAUGGGGAGCGAAAUUUAGUAGCGAAGUAGCUGAUUUCACACUGUCAAGAAAAGUCUCUAUCGAGGUUAAAGGUACCCGUACCGCAAACCGACACAGGUGGGUGAGGAGAGUAUCCUAAGGCCAGCGAGAGAACUGUUGUUAAGGAACUCGGCAAAAUGACCCCGUAACUUAGGGAUAAGGGGUGCCACCAUCAGGUGGCCGCAGAGAAUAGGCCCAAGCGACUGUUUACCAAAAACAUAGGUUUCUGCUAAGUCGCAAGACGAUGUAUAGGAGCUGACGCCUGCCCGGUGCUGGAAGGUUAAGGGGAUCUGUUAGAGCAAUCGAAGCAGUGAACUUAAGCCCCAGUAAACGGCGGCCGUAACUAUAACGGUCCUAAGGUAGCGAAAUUCCUUGUCGGGUAAGUUCCGACCCGCACGAAAGGCGUAACGAUUUGGGCACUGUCUCAACAACAGACUCGGUGAAAUUGUAAUUCCGGUGAAGAUGCCGGAUACCUGCGACAGGACGGAAAGACCCCAUGGAGCUUUACUGUAGCUUGACAUUGGGUCUUGGUACUACAUGUACAGGAUAGGUGGGAGGCUUUGAAACCAGGACGCCAGUUUUGGCGGAGCCAUCCUUGGGAUACCACCCUUGUAGUACUGGGACUCUAACCAUAGGCCAUGAAUCUGGUCUUGGGACACUGUCAGGUGGGCAGUUUGACUGGGGCGGUCGCCUCCCAAAAGGUAACGGAGGCGCUCAAAGGUUCUCUCAGUACGGUCGGAAAUCGUACGUAGAGUGUAAAGGCAAAAGAGAGCUUGAUUGCAAGACAUACAGGUCGAGCAAGGAUGAAAAUCGGACUUAGUGAUCCGGUGGUUCUGCGUGGAAGGGCCAUCGCUCAACGGAUAAAAGCUACCCUGGGGAUAACAGGCUUAUCUCCCCCAAGAGUCCACAUCGACGGGGAGGUUUGGCACCUCGAUGUCGGCUCAUCACAUCCUGGGGCUGUAGUAGGUCCCAAGGGUUGGGCUGUUCGCCCAUUAAAGUGGUACGCGAGCUGGGUUCAGAACGUCGUGAGACAGUUCGGUCCCUAUCCGUCGCAGGCGUAGGAAAUUUGAGAAGACCUGUCCUUAGUACGAGAGGACCGGGAUGGACGUACCUCUGGUGUACCAGUUGUCCUGCCAAGGGCAUGGCUGGGUAGCUAUGUACGGAAUGGAUAAGCGCUGAAAGCAUCUAAGCGCGAAGCCAACUUCAAGAUAAGAUUUCCCACCGCAAGGGUAAGACCCCAGAAAGACUAUCUGGUUGAUAGGUCGAAGGUGUAAGUGCAGCAAUGUAUUUAGCUUAUCGAUACUAAUAGGUCGAGGACUUGACCAA